UACGGAGGGUGCAAGCGUUAAUCGGAAUUACUGGGCGUAAAGCGCACGCAGGUGGCUGAGUCAGUCGAUUGUGAAAGCCCUGGGCUUAACCUGGGAAUUGCAGUCGAUACUACUCAGCUAGAGUAUGGGAGAGGGCAGUGGAAUUCCCGGUGUAGCGGUGAAAUGCGCAGAUAUCGGGAGGAACACCAGCGGCGAAGGCGGCACUCUGGGCUGGAACUGACGCUGAGGAGCGAAAGCGUGGGUAGCAAACGAG
rnacentral:rRNA from 1 species